rnacentral:rRNA from 1 species
CCUACGGGAGGCAGCAGUGGGGAUUGUUCGCAAUGGGCGCAAGCCUGACGACGCAACGCCGCGUGGAGGAUGAAGAUUUUCGGAUCGUAAACUCCUGUCGAAUGGGACGAAUGGCCCGGCCGUGAAUAACGGCUGGGAAUGACGGUACCGUGAGAGGAAGCCCCGGCUAACUCCGUGCCAGCAGCCGCGGUAAUACGGGGGGGGCAAGCGUUGUUCGGAAUUACUGGGCGUAAAGGGCUCGUAGGUGGCCGCCUAAGUCUGAUGUGAAAGCCCACGGCUCAACCGUGGAGGGUCAUUGGAAACUGGGGGACUUGAGUACAGAAGAGGAAAGCGGAAUUCCACGUGUAGCGGUGAAAUGCGUAGAGAUGUGGAGGAACACCAGUGGCGAAGGCGGCUUUCUGGUCUGUAACUGACGCUGAGGCGCGAAAGCGUGGGGAGCAAACAGGAUUAGAUACCCUGGUAGUCCACGCCGUAAACGAUGAGUGCUAAGUGUUAGGGGGUUUCCGCCCCUUAGUGCUGCAGCUAACGCAUUAAGCACUCCGCCUGGGGAGUACGGCCGCAAGGCUGAAACUCAAAGGAAUUGACGG